GAUUAACGCUGGCGGCGUGCAUAACACAUGCAAGUCGAACGAUGAAACUUAACUGAUUUCUUCGGAAUGAUUUUAAGUGGAUUAGUGGCGGACGGGUGGGUAACGCGUGAGUAACCUGCCUUGGAGAAGGGGAUAGCCUUUGGAAACGAAGAAUAAUACCCUAUGAUAUGAUAAUAUCUCAUGAUAUUAUCAUCAAAGAUUUAUCGCUCUAAGAUGGACUUGCGUCUGAUUAGUUAGUUGGUGAGGUAACAGCUCACCAAGGCAGCGAUCAGUAGCCGGCUUGAGAGAGUGUACGGCCACAUUGGGACUGAGACACGGCCCAGACUCCUACGGGAGGCAGCAGUGGGGAAUUUUGCACAAUGGGGGAAACCCUGAUGCAGCGACGCCGCGUGAUUUAGAAGGCCUUCGGGUUGUAAAAAUCUUUUGUAUGGGAAGAAAAUGACAGUAUCAUACGAAUAAGGACCGGCUAAUUACGUG
rnacentral:rRNA from 1 species